rnacentral:rRNA from 1 species
UACGAAGGGGGCUAGCGUUGUUCGGAAUUACUGGGCGUAAAGCGCACGUAGGCGGACUAUUAAGUCAGGGGUGAAAUCCCGGGGCUCAACCCCGGAACUGCCUUUGAUACUGGUAGUCUCGAGUCCGGAAGAGGUGAGUGGAAUUCCGAGUGUAGAGGUGAAAUUCGUAGAUAUUCGGAGGAACACCGGUGGCGAAGGCGGGUCUCUGGGCCGAUACUGACGCUGAGGAGCGAAAGCGUGGGGAGCGAACAGG